rnacentral:lncRNA from 1 species
UUUUUUUUUUUUUUUUUUUUUUUUAAGGCCAUAUCCGUGGCAUAUGGACAUUCCCCAGGGUAGUGGUUGAACUGGAGCUGGAGCUUCUGGCCUACACCACAGCCACAGCAACAUGGGAUCGGAGCUGCGUCUGUGACCUACACCACAGCUCACGGCAAUGCUAGAUCCCUAACCCACUGAGCGAGGCCAGGGAUCGAACCUGCCUCCUCACUGACACUAGCCAGAUUGGUUUCUGCUGCACCACAGUAGGAACUUCAGGAAUAUCUUUAUAAUUAAGCUUGUUACUGACUUUAAAAUAAUUUUUAAAAAAUUUCUAAAUUGCAAUUAAAAUAACCAAUUUUGUCUUUCUGAUGUAUAAGGAAGUGGGAGAUAAUGAGAAUGCAAUUUUCUCACCACCUUGACUUGUUCUUUAUAAAACCUGGCUUGGGUUGGUUAGAGCUCUGUGCUUGGUCCUCUUCCUGAGCCAUUACCUUAGGCCUCGACAGUUUAAAGCAGAAAUCCUGCACGGAGAUUAAUGAAGACCUGUGUUAUACCGCCUUCAAAGCAUCUGCCUGUUCUCAAAAAGUCAUGCACUGGCUCUCAUACUAAUUAGAGCAGAACAAAAUGGGUGUCUUUCCUUUUUGGUAGAAAAUGAAAAACCAAGAAACUGUUCCCCCCUUUUGAUGUAACCUGAUACCACCAUGCAUGUGAACCAUCUCUCGUAUUGAAAUGAAGGAUAAAGAAAACACCAAGGUGCUAAUUGAAUUCAUAUCUCCUCCUCUCCCAGAAGCCAGAAAAACAGAACAGAGCAGUUUCAGUUUCAGAAUCCAGAUAACCCAAAUGGACCCCUUCUCAUCUUAAAAGCCUUUUGAAGCAUCUGAAAUUGUUGCCAAUCAGAUCUGAUGCUUAAUAUUGCUGUGUACAAACUGUUUCUAUGGAGGAAAUUCCCAAAAAAGGAAGCAAGAAUAUUAUUUUAGCAAAUAAUCUGUUUAUCACAUCUUAUGAUAUAAAAUUGGUGAGGGCUUAAGAACUGCCAGAAGCACUCAUAUCAAGUCAAAAUAAAUGAACAAAGAUGAAUUUCUUGGAUGAAGACUGGUAUGACACAUCACUGCAAGGUUUUUGAGCCAUUAAGAAUGUUUACAUGUUUUAGUUUUCAAAAUUUUACUUAAUAAUUGUAUAAAACCAUAACGCUUAAAUAACUCUUCAACAGCAGCUACUUGGUAAGUACUAUUUCAUAUUAGACACUAUUCUUGACACUUUGUAAGUGCAAGCCAUUAUUAUUCUGUCUUACACAUGGAGAAAAAGGCUGAGAGAGGCAAAGUCAUUUGUCAUUUGGUGACAUUACUGGGAUUUGAAUCCAGGUCUAACUAAUCCUGACACCUAUGCUUUAAAUUAUAAAAGCAUUUAAGAUUAUGCAUUUGACAAUAAGCACAGCUUUGACCACAUCCCAUAAAUUGACUGUUCUUGUUAUUUUCUAAGUUUUUUAUUACAGUUUUCAUUUCUUUUUCAAACACGUCUCUUGAUGCCAUAUUUUUUUAUAAUAUAUGGCUAGAAGUUGUUAUACCAUAAAAUUAUUAUUUUUUUGUUGUUGUUCAUCAUAUCUCUCUUAACUAUUUCCUUCAACUUCUGAAUUCUGCCUAUCAAAAAUCUACUCUCCCUAGCUGCAGGUUCAAUCCCUGGCCUUGCUCUGUGGGUUAAGGAUCUGGCAUUGCUGCAAACUGAUGUAGCUCACAGAUGCGGCUCGGAUCUGGUGUUGCUGUGGCUGUGGCUGUGGCCAGCAGCUAUACCUCUGAUUGGACCCCUAGCCUGGGAACUUCCUAUGCCACACCUGUGUGCCCCCACCUCCAAAAAUGAGAGAGAGAGAUAGAGAGAGAGAGAGAUAAUUGAAAGAUGUGAGGUUUAAAAAGACUAAGUAGUGAAGAAAACAGUUGUGUUUGUGUGGGUAAAGAAAUGUGCGAGGUAAACGGUCUUAGAGGAAGUAAUGUGGCAAAAUUUUAAGAGUUCCCGGGAUUCUACCAGCUUUUCAUAACUGUUUAUACAAACACCAAUGCAUUUAUUUAUUCAUGUGUUUACCUGUGAAAAGCAAUGACUAUCACAUCUAAUAACUCUGAUAGGAAACCCUCAAAUGAGCAACUGAUUAAAAAAAGUGAAUAAUAUUUACCUCCAUGGCAGCGAGACGAACACCAUUGCUGAACUGUACUUUUCUAUGUAUACAUAUUUUUUUUUGCAGUUGUCUAUGCAUUUUUCUGUCUCUUUACUUCCCUAGUGAGCAACUAAGGGAAAGCUACUGUGUUUACCUAUCUUAGUAUCCCCUGUGCCUAGUACAAUGCCUAACACAGAACUGACACAUGGUACAUUUUCACUGAAUGAAUAUAGGUAUUGCCUGGACACCCCUACUGAACACUGACUAAAUUGGACCCCAAGAACUAGUAUUGGCCCAGGUCCAGCACAAGUUUUCUGAGCCCUUUUGAAUACCAAGUGUUAAGCUGCCAGGUUCCCCCUACCUGGAGACGGGUUAAUUUCCCUAGCUCUGGGCUGACCCACGUCUGGGUUCUACCUCUUCUCCAUCAGUAUCUUAGCAAGCCCACGUACAAGAAUGCAUGAAUUACGAUACUAACUGUCCAAUUAAUCUGAAGACAUCCUGGAUGAAGGGAUGCUUGAGCGUUGAGGAGAGUGAGUGAGAAGCAUGAAGCAAAAACUGGAGAGGUAGGCAGGGGACAGUCAAUUAAACAGAGAACUUGAAAAUCCCCUUAAAUUUGCCAGUGCGGUUGGAGGUCAUUGGCAAAUCUUUGCUAUAUAAUUUAGGAGAUGACACGGGGAACUCUACUCAGUAUUCUGUAACAACAUAUGGGAAAAGAAUCUGAAAAGGGAUAUAUGAACAUGCAUAACUGAAUCACUUUGCUGUAUGCUUGAAACAUAACAUUGUAAAAACAAAAAUUAUAUGAACAAAAUUUAGGAGAUAAAAUGGAGACAGAGUGCACACAAACUUGCGAAAAAACUUUUAGUUCCAAGGAAAAGAGAAAUAGGAUGGUAGCUAGUGGGACAAUUAGGAUCAAGAAAGACUUGGGGGCGGGGGGUUGGCUUUUCUUUGAACUGCCUGGUAACCACACAACAGCAAAAAUCUGGAACCAAGGGAAGACAGAACCCCUCACCCUCAGAGCUCAUACUGAAACAAGGUCAUAAUAAUUUAAAAAGUGAUCUCAAGUCACCCAUGACAUAACCUUCAAAGAUUACAAGAAAUCAGGGGGAGAAGCAAAGGCCUCAGAGAAUGUGAGUAUGCAGCUGAAUGUCAUUCUGACAGCUUCUUUCUUGGAGGUACAUUUACGAUUAUUUGAGUUGUCAUUUUCUCUAGGAAGACUUAACUUUAAUUAUACAAAUGUUGAAUAUUUUUCAAGAUAAAAAUGGUAAAGAAUUUGCUUUGAAGUCGUUAGCCUUCAAACACUAUUAUGUGAAAUCCUCGCUGAAGAAACAGUGAGGAAUAUGGAAAUAAGUGCAAUCUGGCCUCGUAAAUGAGGAACUGUGAAUGUUAAUGGUCCCGUUUUACCAUGAAUCUUUUAAAGGGCCAAUGGAGAGGCUUUAUUAUUUGAAAUAUCACGGAUCUGGGGGCUCCCUAAGGGAAAUAGUGAUAGAUACUGGUAAAAUGCCUAUAAAGACAGCAAGGCAAAAAAUAAGCCAAAAGUUUGAACUGGCCAUUUAAAACGCUGCCUAACCUUUCAUUUAAUUGUCUUUUUUGCAGCAAACCAGAUGUAAGGUUUGAACGCAAAAUGUGGUGGUUAUCUCUGAAACAUGCUUCAGAAAAAUCUGCUCUAAGGGGUUGAAAGUACAAUUGCUUUGCUCUCAGCUUGAGUGCAACCAAGUGGGGAUAAACUGAAUUUUGGUAUCAGGUUGUAGCAGUGUGCGUCUCCUGCAGGGGUUGGGGUAGAGGGUGGAGGGGAAUCCAAAUAGCUGCAGCUAUGAUGGCCAGUCUGGAAUAGUGGAAAAAAGCAAGACAUUAUUUAAAUGCCGGUUUUCCCCUUUUGUAGCUGUGUGAUCCUGCAGAAGUUACCAAACCUUCCUGAGCUUCAUCUCCCUCAUCUGAAAAAUGGUUAUACUAAUGUCUAAUUUAGAGACCUAUAGUUAGGACUAGCAGAUGACAUCAUUCAUUCAUUCAUUCAUUUAAUAAGCACUUAUUAAAACCUAUGUGCCAGGCUCCAUUCUUGGCUCUGGGAAUAGAGCAGUGAGCAAAACAGACUGGCAUUUUAGUGCAGGACGACAGGCAGCACAGAAGAUAAAGAAGUCAAUUAAAUCACGUGUGAGGUGAGAAGGAGAAAGGAAAGGAAGUGUGGCCAGUCGAACUGCUCACAUGUGUUGGCAACAUUAUCUCUUACCCCACAGGCUCUUAUUACAAUGUGACUUUGACAUUUCUCCAAUAUAGAAAUGGGUUCUUUGUUUCCUCCCCAUGAAACUGAAUGGAGUUUUUUGAAGUUUCAACCAACAGAAUAUGUGGCAGUGAUGUUACAUGAAUUCCAAGGCUAGAUCCUGUGAGACAAUGCAGCUCCCACCUUACUUGCUAGAAAGCUAAUUUACAAAGACUCAGCUACCAUAUAAACAGCCCGCUGCUCUGAGAUCACCAUACUUUGAGGCUGCUCAAACUAGCCCACAUGAAGAGACCGCAUGAGGGGCUCCAGACUAUAUGGAAAGAAACAGAGAGAUGCAGAUGGCCCCAGAUACUUAAACCUCGCUUCACUCCAGUUCUAGCCACCAUCUGACUGCAACCAUAUAAGACAACCAGAAACCAGAACCUCUCAGCUGAGAGUUUCCAGAAUUACUGAUCUUCAGAAACUAUGAGAAUAAAAUGUCUGCUGACAUUUUAACUCACUAAAUUUGGGGGGAGAUAAUUUUAGAUAACUCACUACAUUUGUUACAUGGCAAAAGAUAACUGGAGUGGCAGAUAAGGGAAUAGAGAAUAAUUUUAUGCAGGGGAGAGAGAGAAGACUUGGCUGAGAAGUUUGAUUAAUGAAUUGGGGAGCAGGAGAAUGAAUAAGAUACCUGGGGGGGAAAUGUCCUAGGCCAAGAGAGGUCCUGGUGUCUUUAGGGAAGAGCAGGGAGGCCCAAAGGUGACUGGAGCAAGAAAGGGAGAGAGCUAGAAACAGCAACUGAGGUCAAAGACCAGCUAGUCUAGGGUCUCGCAGGCCAUGGUAAAGACCAGUUUUCACGCUGAGUUGAGAAGCUACUGGAUGGUUUUGAGCAAUGACAGGAUGUGACUAUGUUUU